GCGGCAGUAGCUCAGUGGUAGAGCCUCUGCUUCGCAUACGGCGAGAUCUGGGUUCGAUUCCCGGCUGCUUCC
rnacentral:tRNA from 1 species